GUCCCUUGAACCAUAACGUAUAGGCCUAUUGUGUUUCUGCGUUCAUAACAUCUUGUAAUUUCGUAAAUAUCAGGAUAUUACUGGGAAAAAUCUAAUUGAACGCACCUCCCACUGGUAUUACUAGUGGGAAACUCGUCUAUCACCCCUAUGCUCUGAGUUUCCCACUGACCUAGUUUGUCAACAAAAAAAGACAGCAAGCAUGGCGGCAGCUUCAGUAAUUGUUAUUUAUGGUAGGUUUGGUGCGGUCGAUGUGGUUGAAGAAGCUGAGCUGGAGUAGGAGCGUAGGAGGACCCUAUGUUUGGUGGCAACCUCGGUGCGACGUCGAUGGUGCUCCCCCAGGAACUCUUUCAGCUUGGUGGUGGUGAAGGCCAGAGACAGUGUGCAGGAGCUGGUGACGCUGGCUAAGGGGUUACUGGCCACACACUCAUAGAGCCCUGCGUCCCUCCUGCUGGUCUUCAUGAUCGUAACGAGCUGCCUGCCGUCUGGACAGGAGAUCAGACUCAUCCUGGCGUCCAUCUCCAGUGGUCUCUUAUCUGUGGACAAGUAAACCCAUCAACAAGAAUCAUUACAGUGGCAUCCUGUAAAGUAGUGUGUCAUUUUACAGUCCUAUUUCAAAAGGCAACGACCAACGUUUCAGCAGCAGCUCCGACGGUAAAGCUUUAUUAGACAGCGCUGUUGCAAAGAGUGUUGUGUCUGUCAGCUCUAUGAGUUCUUACCUUUCGUCCAGCAGAUUUGUGGGUGGGGGCUGCCAGCCGGGAGGCAGCUAAGAGUGACAGGGUCACCCUCCAAUAAGACGUGGUCCCUCAGCUUGAUAUGGAACACAGGAGGGAAGUCUGGGAAAAACAAGGGUGUGGCUUAAUAAUAUUAUUGAACACUGAGAAUGAAUUUAGAAUGUAAAAGCAGUGUGCAGCUUUCAUUGCCAAACUCCAACUCUGUAUGCACAUUCAACAUAAAGGCAACUGGAUGCUGAAUUUAGCAGACAGUACUAGAGGAAGUGCGGGAGUACUGCAGGCUGCCUGAUGACCCCUCAUCUUUGGCUGAGGGGAGGUCAGUCUGAGAGGGGGUCUUAUCCUUCCUGCUCCUGCCCAGACCCCACCUGUCCCACCGCGACCGCCUGUCAGUCUCUGGAGCUGUGGAGGACAAGACAUAAUGGCAAACAGCUGAGACAGAGGAACCUGAGGAGGACCUGAGACCUAGGACCAUGCCUCAGAACUACCUGGCCUAAUGACUCCUGGCUGUCCCCGUUCCCCAGUCCACCUGGUUGUGCUGCUGAUCCAGGACCUGCUAUUUUUACCCUCUCUCCCACCACCUGCUGUCUCGACCUCUGAAUGCUUGGCUAUGAAAAGCCAACUGACAUUUACUCCUGAGUGGGAAUCUGAUGUACCUUAAUGUCAAGAUGAGCAAUGUCUUUCUGGUGAAGGUAGCUGACCCCUUCAAGCACCUGCUGAAUACUG